AAUAAUGUGGUCUAAGCUUAAAUGUAAAAAAAAAAUUAAAUGUUAAGACAUUUUGCCAUACCAAAAGUGGACGUUUCUGUAGAAUGACCCUACAGUGUGUUUGUUUGAAACCUGAGAGACAGGCGAGUGUGACUGAAGGAGGAGACACCAGGUCGGUCAUGUGAUGCACAUAUAAACAGAUCAUCCUCCAUAAAACGUACAUCACUCACACUCUUCAUCCUAAAGAAAGACUUCAUCCUUUAAUCAGCCAUGAAGAAGCUCUACAAGUGCCUGUGGAUCUUACUGGGGUUUUUAUUGAUUGAGGAAAUGGCACAUGGACAAAAAGAGAAUGUAGCACUAUGGGGCAAAACUAAUCAGUCAUCAAUUUACGAAGGAUUUUAUUCUGGAUUGGCUAUUGAUGGAUUGUUGACCAGCUGGACCCACACUAACCCUGAAACCAACCCAUGGUGGAGAGUGGAUCUACUGAAGGUAUACAGAGUGAACAGAGUGACCAUCACUAAUAGACCGACCUUUGAUUAUAGGCUUAACGGAGCGGUGAUUCGUAUCGGGAACUUUCUUGACAUUUACAGCAACACCAUAUGUGGUGUAAUUUCUACUCUUGAAGCCGGUGACACGGCCACUUUCUCAUGCGGUGGGAUGGUGGGACGUUAUAUGGUUGUUCAUAUUCCUGGAGAUCAGAAGAUUCUUAGUAUUGUUGAAGCUGGAGUCUACGGGUAUUUGGCAGGAAAUCGGGCAAUCGGUGGAGCCACUAUACAGUCGUCAACAUCUCAAAACUGGUUUGCUGAAAAGGCCGUUGAUGGUAAUCGAGGUCUCCAGCAGUUGUAUACGGGAUGCUCCUCAACCCUUAAUGAGGCAGACCCGUGGUGGAGGCUGGAUCUGCAUGAUGUCUACCGAGUUAAUAAAGUGGUCGUCACUAAUAGAAAUGACUGCUGUGCAGAACAAAUAAACGGAGCGGAGAUUCGCAUCGGAAACUCUUUGGAGAACAACGGCAUCAACAAUCCCAUAUGUGCUGUUAUUCCUGCUAUUCCACCAGGUGAGUCCUACAGCUACUCAUGUGAUGGACUGGAUGGACGUUACGUGAUUAUUCAUGUUCCUGGAGACCAGAAGAUUCUUGCGCUUUGUGAGGUUGAAGUCUACGGGUAUUUGGCAGAACAUCUGGCAGUAGCUGGAGCUGCUAAACCAUCGUCAACAUCUGCGGACUGGUUUGAUGAAAAGGCCAUUGAUCAAGGUACCUGUUUAAAAAGAUCAUUUGUAAAACUGCUGUUUCACUCCAGCAAAGAUUUGACCGACUCUACAAUGAGAGAAAACGUUCUGAAACAGAAUUGGCAAAGCAUCGCCUGCAGUGAACGGCUGGUAAGGGACUACAACAAAAUACUUCUGGUUGGGAUCUGCUCUGGCUGAUAGAGGAAUCACAGACGUGACACUGAAGUGGUCACAAACCCCUAAACAGGAAGUAAUGCGGAAAGUUAACGACAAACGUCGCUGUGAUACAAGACAAUAAUUCUCUGGAAAUCAACAGUGUGUCUGACUCACUAAAUUCACAUUCAUUCAAUUUCUUCAUAAUUUAUUAAAGCCUGUUUCCACCACUGAAUAAAAAAUAAAACAAGGGACUUUUUAUCUCACAAUUCUGACAUAAAGUCCAUUCUGAGGGGAAAAAGGAGAGACUAUUUUCUUACAAUUGCAAGUUUAUAUCUCACACUUUAUUACUCAGAAUUAAGACUUUAUUUCUCAGAACUGUGAGAGUAGUAACUAUGCUGUAGUAACAACUUUUUUUGCGAUUGGUGCGAGAGGGUUUUGGUUUGCAGCACUUCGCACACUGGCACACUAGAUGAGAAACAGCAUUAUAAUGCAUUAUAAUUGUAUCAAAUCCUCGUUAAUGUACUACAGUCUAGUGUAGUCCUAGUCUUUACAUUUUAAUAUUAAAAAUAGUACUAAUAGCAUUAGUUAGAUGCCAGAUAUAUUAUGUAUUUUUUAAGCUAUGAGUUUGGAUAAUUGAUUUUUAGAAUAGAAAUCAUGGUUCUCCCACGAUUCUGAAAACAAAACAUUAGACAACAUAUUAUUUAGUUUGGUUGUCUAAUUUCCUUUCAGGUUCUGACAAAAUGUUUUAUUUAAUGUUAUAAAUUAGUUUAUUUAAAAAUAGAAUAUGUAUAACUUCCUAUUCUAUACAACCGUUUUAAAGAGGAUUAAUUCUCCAAUUUCAAGGUAUAUCUGGAAGCACAAGAAACCUAGACUUAAACUUUCAGUUUUGAUGAAACCAAAGGAAUUGGGUGGAGUUUCCCUACCAAAUUUUCAAUUAUAUUUUUGGUUUGCACAAAUUAAGCACAUGUUAAAUUGGUUUAUUUACAGAUUUGAUUCACGCUGGGUCGGGAUUGAAUCCACUAGAUGUUUUCCUAGACUGUUAUGCUCCCUACCAUUUAUUCAUAACGGACAAACAAUUCAACAUCUGACCAAUAUUUUCACCGUAACAAAUACUCUUUUGGUGCGGAAGGAUGUUAAGAAAUAUUUAUCCAUUCCAAAUAAGUUGUCUCUGAGGUCCUAAUCUUCCCACUCCCAUACAGAAAAUUGGCCUUUUGACUUGGAGGUCAAGAGGAGUGUCGGAGUUAGGUCUUUUAUUUGAUGACGGUCAAAUGAGAUCAUUUCAGGAGUUAAGACAGGAAUUUAAUCUGCCCAGUAAAGAUUUUUAUAAAUUCCUUCAAAUCUGACACUUUUUAGAAUUACAGUUAAAAAAAGGUAAUAUACAACUUGAUCUCACUGAAAUAGAAAAAAAAAAACGCUUUUUUCAUCAUUUACUCUUAAAAAGAAGAUCUCUGAAUUAUAUACAAUGCUGUUUAAUGUUGGUCCUUCAUCCUUUGACUCUUUAAGGGUGAUAUGGGAAAAUUCACAAAAUUAUUCAAAAGAUUAUUGGAAAGAUUUUUGUAUUGUCCCCAAAGGUAUACCAUCUGAAUUGUACAGCGGAUCUGUGAUCUGUGUCUGGACUGUGACAAAGAAUGUGUACUGAAUGUUUGUAUAUAUCUGGCCAAAAAUGUAUACUAUUAUUAUGAUCAACUGCUCAGAUACCUUCAAUCAAUAUGUGGAUGAGUCAGGCGACCACUCUUUUACCAUUGGAAAAAUUCACUUAUGAUUUACAUCUAAGAUCUGAGGUGUUCUGGUGCAUUUGGUCCUCUCUCGGGAACUUUCUUGAGGAUACUCAGUGACUGUCUUUCUAAUUUUGGUUUAGAAUUUUCUUUUAUUUCUGUCUUUGCUCUUCUGCAUUUGUAUGCAUUUGAAUGUCUAAUAUAUACUAGCUGUACAUGUUGUUAUGAGAUACCAGUACCACUGUUGUUUUAUUGGAAAAUUUAAUUAAAAUUAAAAAUAUGGGUAACACUUUACAAUAAGGUUCAUUAGUUAACUACAUUAGUUAACAUUAACUAAUAAUAAACUGCACUUAUACAGCGUUUAUUAAUCUUUGUUAAUGUUAAUUUCAACAUUUACUAAUACAUUAUUAAAAUCUUGUUAACAUUAGUUAAUGCACUGUGAACUAACAUGAACUAACAAUGAACAUCUGUAUUUUUAUUAACUAACGUUAGCGAAGAUUAGUAAAUACAGUAACAAAUGUAUUGCUCAUGGUUAGUUCAUGUUAGUUAAUACAUUAACUAAUGUUUAACUAAUGA